UCUCCCAAUCCUUGUACCAGUGUCGUGGUGUCGGCCGACGCUGGGCAGGCUUUGGGGGG
ensembl:miRNA gmo-mir-150 gmo-mir-150